rnacentral:rRNA from 1 species
AUGAACGCUAGCGAUAGGCUUAACACAUGCAAGUCAGGGGCAUCACAUGAGUAGCAAUACGAUGGUGGCACGGCGCACGGGUGAGUAACACGUAUGCAACCUACCCAUGACAGAGGGAUAACCCGUCGAAAGGCGGACUAAUACCGCAUAACAACGAUAUGCUGCAUGGCAUAUUGUCAAAGAUUUAUCGGUCAUGGAUGGGCAUGCGUUCCAUUAGGUAGUUGGCGGGGCAACGGCCCACCAAGCCUACGAUGGAUAGGGGUUCUGAGAGGAAGGUCCCCCACACUGGUACUGAGACACGGACCAGACUCCUACGGGAGGCAGCAGUGAGGAAUAUUGGUCAAUGGGCGAGAGCCUGAACCAGCCAAAUCGCGUGAAGGAAGAAGGUAUUAUGUAUCGUAAACUUCUUUUGUCAGGGAAUAAAGUGCACCACGUGUGGUGUUUUGUAUGUACCUGAAGAAUAAGGAUCGGCUAACUCCGUG